UGGGGAAUAUUGGACAAUGGGCGCAAGCCUGAUCCAGCAAUGCCGCGUGAGUGAUGAAGGCCUUAGGGUUGUAAAGCUCUUUCGCACGCGACGAUGAUGACGGUAGCGUGAGAAGAAGCCCCGGCUAACUUCGUGCCAGCAGCCGCGGUAAUACGAAGGGGGCUAGCGUUGUUCGGAAUUACUGGGCGUAAAGGGCGCGUAGGCGGCCUUGUCAGUCAGAAGUGAAAGCCCCGGGCUCAACCUGGGAACCGCUUUUGAUACUGCAAGGCUUGAGUUCCGGAGAGGAUGGUGGAAUUCCCAGUGUAGAGGUGAAAUUCGUAGAUAUUGGGAAGAACACCGGUGGCGAAGGCGGCCAUCUGGACGGACACUGACGCUGAGGCGCGAAAGCGUGGGGAGCAAACA
rnacentral:rRNA from 1 species